UGGGGAAUUUUGGACAAUGGGGGCAACCCUGAUCCAGCAACGCCGCGUGAAUGAAGAAGGCCUUAGGGUUGUAAAGUUCUUUUGUCCGAGAGCAAAUCGUAUAUGUUAAUAGCGUGUAUGGAUGAGAGUAUCGGAAGAAUAAGCACCGGCUAACUACGUGCCAGCAGCCGCGGUAAUACGUAGGGUGCAAGCGUUAAUCGGAAUUACUGGGCGUAAAGGGUGCGCAGGCGGAUAUAUAAGUUAGAUGUGAAAUACCUGGGCUUAACCUAGGAACGGCAUUUAAUACUGUAUAUCUAGAGUUUGUCAGAGGGUGGUAGAAUUCCAAGUGUAGCAGUGAAAUGCGUAGAGAUUUGGAGGAAUACCGGUGGCGAAGGCGGCCACCUGGGAUAAAACUGACGCUCAUGCACGAAAGCGUGGGGAGCAAACAGG
rnacentral:rRNA from 1 species